rnacentral:rRNA from 1 species
ACCCAGACCGCCAGCUAAGGUCCCAAAGUCAUGGUUAAGUGGGAAACGAUGUGGGAAGGCCCAGACAGCCAGGAUGUUGGCUUAGAAGCAGCCAUCAUUUAAAGAAAGCGUAAUAGCUCACUGGUCGAGUCGGCCUGCGCGGAAGAUGUAACGGGGCUAAACCAUGCACCGAAGCUGCGGCAGCGACACUGUGUGUUGUUGGGUAGGGGAGCGUUCUGUAAGCCUGUGAAGGUGGCCUGUGAGGGUUGCUGGAGGUAUCAGAAGUGCGAAUGCUGACAUAAGUAACGAUAAAGCGGGUGAAAAGCCCGCUCGCCGGAAGACCAAGGGUUCCUGUCCAACGUUAAUCGGGGCAGGGUGAGUCGACCCCUAAGGCGAGGCCGAAAGGCGUAGUCGAUGGGAAACGGGUUAAUAUUCCCGUACUUGGUGUUACUGCGAAGGGGGGACGGAGAAGGCUAUGUUGGCCGGGCGACGGUUGUCCCGGUUUAAGCGUGUAGGUGUGUGUUCCAGGUAAAUCCGGUUCACUUUAACACUGAGGCGUGACGACGAGGCACUACGGUGCUGAAGCAACAAAUGCCCUGCUUCCAGGAAAAGCCUCUAAGCAUCAGGUAACAUCAAAUCGUACCCCAAACCGACACAGGUGGUCAGGUAGAGAAUACCAAGGCGCUUGAGAGAACUCGGGUGAAGGAACUAGGCAAAAUGGUGCCGUAACUUCGGGAGAAGGCACGCUGACACGUAGGUGAAGUGAUUUACUCACGGAGCUGAAGUCAGUCGAAGAUACCAGCUGGCUGCAACUGUUUAUUAAAAACACAGCACUGUGCAAACACGAAAGUGGACGUAUACGGUGUGACGCCUGCCCGGUGCCGGAAGGUUAAUUGAUGGGGUCAGCGCAAGCGAAGCUCCUGAUCGAAGCCCCGGUAAACGGCGGCCGUAACUAUAACGGUCCUAAGGUAGCGAAAUUCCUUGUCGGGUAAGUUCCGACCUGCACGAAUGGCGUAAUGAUGGCCAGGCUGUCUCCACCCGAGACUCAGUGAAAUUGAACUCGCUGUGAAGAUGCAGUGUACCCGCGGCAAGACGGAAAGACCCCGUGAACCUUUACUAUAGCUUGACACUGAACAUUGAGCCUUGAUGUGUAGGAUAGGUGGGAGGCUUU